CCAUCUGUUGAGUUGCAUCUCACUGUGAAACGCUGGAGCUGGUCAUUGCACUGCAGCCACAGUUGAGACAAGACUUUCCCUUACUCCCCCUGGUGAUUCCUGACCGGCUCAUCACCGUAUAUUCCCUCCCCCCUUCCUCUACCCUUUAUCCCCAACCUCCAUCCCCACCCUCCAUCCCCACCUUCAGUCCCCUUUGUCCAUCCCCUUUCUAUCAUCAUUCGCACGCACUGGUCCAUGUCUACUUUUCCUUCUCCCUCCAUCCUCUAUUCAUUUCUUCUGUCACUUGCACGCACCGUUUCAUUUCUACCUUUUCUCCUCCCUGUUUCCUCUCUUCUCCACCCCUACUUUGCAUUUUGCACGCACCAUCUAAUUUCUACUCCCCCCCCCCCCCCCUCCUUCUGCUCUCUACUAACAUGGGAUCAUGACAGCUACCUUCCCGGUGGUGAUCCUGUUAAGGGAAGUUUUCCUGAUAAAGGGAAAUUUCCCGAACUAAAGCUGUCAAAUAGGGGAUGUUUGUUCGCUGGAUCAUUUGGAAUGGUGAUCAACUUUAAUCUCCAUUAAGUCUUUAUAAUGGAGGACAUGAGGAUUAUUUCAUGUUGUGUUAUGCAAUUUCGUAUUGAGUCAAAAGAAAGUUUCCAAAUUUGAAAUAAUCUUGCUUCAUUUCACACACAAAAUGUAGGGAUAUUCUUAUUAACUUUUAUCCGAAAAAAUCACGUAAUUUGCAUACUAUAGUUUUGCACACUUAUUCCUAAGUUAUGUCUAUUUCAUUGAAAAGAUCACAAAACUGGGCUGUCAACCACGUAUCAAUUAUUGUUCUAUGAACCGAUUAAUGCCUAUUGAGUACAAUGAAACGUAAACAAGUCAAUUGUAACUCCAGAUAGCAUUGAUCAAUCGCAGUCAUUUGUUUUUAAAUGAGUGGAAAAUGUUCUUUUCAGACAUGUUCAUUGAAGUUUCAAAUCUUUUUUUAAAGAUACAAAAUCAUUGAUUUGGGUAGCUUUCUUUCUGGCUAACCGUGUAUAAUCGCACAAUAGUGAACAAAUACCCCCUUACCCGCACUGGCUACGGACGGGCGGCAUCAGAUAAUUAUGAUAUGAGUUAAGAUAAUUAUGAUGUCGGUUUUUUGGGAAGGACCCCAAACCUAUUUUAUCUACCGCAUUUACUGUACACACAUUCGCAAGUGCCCUCUAUCUAGUGAGGCCAAACCAGUGCAAUACACAUGCCACGCAAGUGUUAUUGAGUUUUCCACCAGCCUAGCGAGUGCACUGCACUGCAAAAAGCCUGCGAAAUAAUCAUCUCUCACAAGGAUUUUGACUCCAGGAACAGAGGCCUCAUCGCUGACUAAGGACUCAGCAAGGAUUCAUCGUGGGCCAGGACCUGCGGAGUACUUGAAGUUGUCGAGCCUGGUGAGAAUGAGACGGCUCUUUUGAAAAUCAACCGCCAUGACCGCACCUUCAUUUUCAAGGCCUUCACCGCGCUCAAGUUUUACAUGCACAGGAAAACCAGUGAACUGAGAUUUGACUGGUCUUUACUUUCAAAACUCAAACUUAGUUGCUCCAUGAGUUGCUUGCGGUUCACUCCAUCUUCAAUCUCAUACAUGUAUCUGCCAUGUAGCGCGUCUUUAUGGGAGGCUGUAUCUGGACAGAUGCUGUGUACAUAGAUGGUACCUAUUGAUCUUCUGCCAUGGGAACCAAGGUGCAGACAGGCAGCUCAGGAUGUCUGUGAUGGAUGAGGCACCAUCCUGAGGUCAUCAACACAUCUUCUCUGGCUUCUCUCAGGAUGAUUGAGUGCUCCAAACUGAAGAGACUUACCUUUGCAAACCAUGCUUAGGCAGGAUUGGACCAGACCAGUGCCUAGACUAUCGUGAAUGACUGCCUGCUGAGGCUUUUCCCUGGCGGCAUCGAAGCCAUCCACACCAUAACCCAUGAUGCCCUGGCCUGGAUGUCUACCUUGGCCUACACGCCAUAUGAAAGAAGUGCCUAGAUUAGGCAGGGCAGGCUGGAUGAUCAUCACCAUGAUGACUGAGAUGACCUUAAGGAUGACUGAUCACAUGACUGAGAUGCUGAGUCCUGGUGGAGGUUUCCUUGGUCUCAUUUGGAAGACUGCUGACAGGACUUGGCUGGACUGGAUCAAGUGGCUGCUGUUGGAGCAAACUUUGAGCAAAUCCUUGGCAAUGAGAGGUCCCAAUCCAAUCAUACAAGAUAAUAUUCCGAGUCUAAAAAUUUAAGCAAGGAAAGAGAAAUACCAGACAAGAAUAAAUCACCUUUUUCCAAUAAGAAAAGUUCGCAGUUAGAACCAUGUAACGAAACUCUUUUGUGAGUUAGUGAGGUUCUUUGCCAUGCAAUCCUUCAAUUGUUAUCUCAUGUUUUUCCCAACUAUUGUGAGGCAGCACAUGUACUUUCAUUGCCAAGGGUUUGCUCUUAUGAUUGAUUAAUUUGAAUUAGUUGUCCAGGCACAUGUCACAAAAGUCUGAAAUGUUUUCAAAAUUAAUAAGGAUAAGCACAUUACAACCCACCCCUCCAAAAAACCCUCCACUCCUUAUAACGUUUUUGUUAAGACGUAAAGUUUGAACUCGUGCAAAAGUACAAACCUUAUGAAUUGCAUUAACUGUGAUGCUCUCUAGACUUUUCAUUUUUGAUUCCGAGUGUUUGUAACUCAAAAUGAAGGUCUAAAACAGACAAAUUUGUUGACAUGUGCCUGGGCUGUUGUCUUUAACUGAAAAAAAGUUAAGCUGAAAAUUGAUAAUUGUAUAGAUCUACAAUGGCACAUUAUAAUCAUUGAUCAAUAUAAAUUGAUCAAUUUGGCAGUUUUAUAAAUGUUAAAUUGUAAACAGAGGUAUGCAGAUUAUAUUAAUAACACAUUAAUAGUUGAAUUCGGAUGUGAUGAUGUUCUGUUUGAUCUCUGCCAUUGUAUCCUUUUUACUGCUUGAUUUUUGAUAAUUUUGGAUGGCAGUGAUACCAUUUGUUUAAAUAUAUACUUUGAAAUCAUGAAAUAUUUUAUCAACUUAACUGUUAAUGAAUCUGUUUCCGACAUUUCAGAGAAAAGAGUUCUAUUAAUGAGAAGAAAAAAAACAAUGCAUGACCAAUUUUUAUUGAGGUAAAGAAUGUAACAUUUUGUAUUUUUAUAUCAUGCCUUUAGUCACAAAUUGAAUGUAUUUGGCAAGGUAAUAUUUAUUGGUAAGGUAAUAUAUUAUAAUGUGCCAUUGUAGAUUCAUUUGCUACUUUAAUUAAAAUGAGGUUUCUGUGGUGUGAUGGUGUUUUUCUUUUGGACAUAUCUGCUGUCUAUUUGUACAAGUUUGCAGCACAGAACAUUGCUAUCAUAUCCUGUUGGAUAAAUUCCAUAUUUUCUAUGCUACGAUUCAAAAGAAAUUGGUUAUACAAGUAUACAAGAAGGGCUAAUUUGACACAAUUUACUGCAGAAACAGCGAAAAAAAUUUAAGCUAUUCGUGGAUUUCAGUAUUUCAAGGAAAAAGUACAAAUUUGGCAAUUUGAAAUUUGAAAACUAGAAAAAUUUAAGUUGUAUUUUUAAGAUUUU